rnacentral:snRNA from 1 species
UAACUUGAGCAGCACAUAUUCUAAAAUUGGAAUGAUACAGAGAAGAUGAGCACAGCCCCACGGUGACACACAAAUUCAUGAAAUGCUCCAUAUAUUU